GGAAGCGCCUCUAGCGGCUGUCAGGAAGACAGCCACUAGAGGCUGGAUUAAUCCUGCAAUGUUUAUAGCUGCAUAGUUAAAACCUGGGGGACCUGGCACCCAGACCACUUAAUUGAACUGAAGUGGUCUGGGUGACUAUAGUGGUCCUUUAAUGUACCUUUUUAUUGUAUAAUGUUAUGGCAUAUAUACUUACCAGGCUCAUUUAUUUAAAAAAAGAUUGUUUCCCUUAAAUCUACAAUGCAUGUGAGAUCAACUCUGGUGCUGAUCCAGACAUAGGAUAUAACUUGCUCAAUUGCAACUGUAUCCUCAUGUUGUUUUUGCAACUCCCAUUAUCCUUGGCAGGUUUCGGAUAAUAUGUAUUUAUUUCGGCUGGAAGGCCAUAGUUGCCAAAAUCUACUAGGGGAUUGUAUUUUCAAAAACAUGCAGUGAAACAAUAUAUUGAUAGGUUUGGUUGUUUAAUGCAGUUAAACUUUAAACUUUUAAAUGAUCUCAAAUAUCUAAGAAUUAAAAACACAAUGACAUGGGGAAUUUGUAUCAGAGAAAAUAAUGGCUAGGUUGUAACCACAUUUAUGCUAAGCAGGUGUGAUAGAUAGAAGUGGUUAGAAUUCCAUUAAUAUAAAAAUAUGUUUAAAGGGACAUUCCAGAAACACGCGCAUGUGAUGUAACAUGUGAAGGUUAGAUUAAAAUCCAUUAUGUUGGGUGGGAUAAACCCAGUUUACCGUUUUACAUGUUUACUUUUUACAGCAGAAAUCUGAUAGACUAAAUUUCCCAGAAACUCUUGCUGUGCCUAUAAAACAUUACUUAUGGUAUAAACUCAAUUCUAUGGAAAGUUAAAUGAGCAAGAUUACUAGUCACUUCCUUUUCUAACAAGAGCUCAUUGACUUAUUUUCAAAUACUUUAAUGCAUUAUCUAUGUCAUGGUUUAACAAAAUGGACCAUGUUCAGUGUGGAGUGUCCCUUUAAAUUAAUCCAGUCUAGAUUCAAGUUAAUAGUACCCACAACUAGAACCAAAAACUAGUGAAACCUCUGAAAUAUGUUGAUUUUAUUACUAUUAACAAGUUGCUCAAACUGGAGAUUUAUUUAAAAAAUAAAACACACAAACACACAAAAAAACAAACCCUGCUGGUUUAGUCUAGAUUGUCGAUUGUCAUCUGUUUUAGUGUAUGGAAACCCGGAUUAUUUGGUACAGUAAAAUGAACCAGCAAAUUAAUCUAAAUAUGUAUACAACUUUUACCAGAAUCACUCAAUUUCAGUAAC